GGCCGGUUAGCUGAGUUGGUCAGUGCGUCGUGCUAAUAAAGCGAAGGUCUCUGGUUCGAUGCCCAUACUGGCCA